CCUACGGGUGACAGCAGUGGGGAAUAUUGCUCAAUGGGGGAAACCCUGAAGCAGCAACGCCGCGUGGAGGAUGAAAGUUUUAGGAUUGUAAACUCCUUUUGUUAGGGAAGAUUAUGACGGUAUCUAACGAAUAAGCACCGGCUAACUCCGUUCCAGCAGCCGCGGUAAUACGGGGGGUGCAAGCCUUACUCGGAAUCACUGGGCGUAAAGAGUGCGUAGGCGGGGUAAUAAGUCAGAUGUGAAAUCCUGUAGCUUAAAUACAGAACUGCAUUUGAAACUGUUACUCUGGAGUGUGGGAGGGGUAGGUGGAAUUCUUGGUGUAGGGGUAAAAUCCGUAGAGAUCAAGAGGAAUACUGAUUGCGAAGGCGAUCUGCUGGAACAUGACUGACGCUGAGGCACGAAAGCGUGGGGAGCAAACAGGAUUAGAUACCCUAGUAGUC
rnacentral:rRNA from 1 species